UACGGGGGGAGCAAGCGUUGUUCGGAUUUACUGGGCGUAAAGGGCGCGUAGGCGGCGCAACAAGUCACUUGUGAAAUCUCCGGGCUUAACCCGGAGCGGUCAAGUGAUACUGUCGUGCUAGAGUGCGGAAGGGGCGAGUGGAAUUCCUGGUGUAGCGGUGAAAUGCGCAGAUAUCAGGAGGAACACCAAUUGCGAAGGCAGCUCUCUGGGACGGUACUGACGCUGAGACGCGAAAGCCGUGGGGAGCGAACAGG
rnacentral:rRNA from 1 species